GGAUAAAGGCCUUGGGAAUGUAGCUUCUUUCGGGGAGUGUUAUAGCCCUCGGUGCAAUGCCGCCUGCCUGGACCGAGGACCGCGCUUCGGCUAGGAUGCUGGCGUAAUGGUUGUAAGCGA
rnacentral:rRNA from 1 species